GCCCCCCGGGGCCGCUCCCGCUCCGCCCACUGCGCGCCCGGGGCUGCCGGGAUCGGCCGGAGCGGGGCGUUCCCUGCGGGGUGCGGGUGGCUCCCGCCUCCCCGGGCCGCAGGUGGCUCCGCAGCCCCGCCCUGGAGCCGCCGCGAUGCGCAAAUGGCGGCGGUGGCGGUUCGUGCCGCGCGGGUGGCGGUGGGCGCUGCGGGAGUAAUGCGGUGUUUGGCUUCGUGUCCUGCUGGGAACGAGCUGCGGCUCAUAUCGAUAUACACGUAUAAACGGCUGCUGGUGUAUCCCUCACCGCAGAAUCAGUCCCAUAUUGAGCCAUGAGCUCAGCGCUGUGCGGUAGCUUAGUCAUGCAGGGUUGGAUAGCAGGCUGUGCCUGCCAAAUGCAUCUUUUUUUGCAGUGGUUUUAAAUAUUGAUAAUGACACCUUCAAUCCGCUCGGCUUGGGUGGCCCCGCUAAGCCGCCAUCGUGAGCUGCCGUUUACCACCGUGUGGCCACGGAGUGGUUUGGGUUUGGGAGAUGGGUGCAGCUAGGGCAGCACGGAGCUGUGGGAAACAUGAAGGGAAACGAUCCAGAAAUUACUGGGGGAUAAGAACAACAAUAAAUGAACCGACAGGCUCUGCUGCUUCCAGAGGACAACACACUUUCUCCACUCUGGCUGCCAUCUUUGUUUGGGUAUGAGUUACAACAACGCAGAGUUCUCUGAUAUUGGCAACUUACAACCUUUUCCAAAAGCCUGCAGACUUGUGUCACCAGCAGUUUUAAAUUAGAGAUUGGCUGUGGUACAGUAUGGUAGAAAUUCAUUCCUGGACAUCCCACUGUCUGUGAAACUGAAGGUGAGCACAGAGCUGUCAUUCUCAGACCCUUGUGACAUGAGAACGUUACACAUAUGUUUGAGCCAAAGGUAGGACUCCAGGCAGGACUGAGACAACUAUGGAAUCAACAACUUAAUUCCUCAGCACAGCGGUCUUACAAACAAAGCUGUAUUUGGGUAUGGAGAGAUACACAAAUUGAUAGCCCUCUUAACCAAUUAGUAGGCUGAUAACUUUAUUGUGCCUUUUUUUCCCUAGUCAUUUCAACUAAUGAGUUAUUUCUAUGUAAAUUAAGUUUACUGUCUUUGCUGUAACCCAAGCAAGGAAUACUGCUUUGUUUUACUGGACAUAUUCCUUAUCCUUCCAUAAAGUAAAACCUCAGCAACAGAAGUUCUCUUGUGAUUU